CCCGAAAUCCUGGUCCAUGGACUUGAAGAAGAAUUUGUAGCUGUGCACGGGCCGGUUGCCCAGGACAUUCUUAAAAUCCGUCAGCGUGACUCUCUCCGGGGGGACGGGCAGCUUCACCAGGGACUGGACUGUCCAUCCAACAGGGUAACAUAGGCGGUUUCCACUCUGUCCUGGGAAGAACUCUGUCACUCCCGCUGGACUAUUGGUCAGCAGUUGGUGGCUCUCCAAGAGCAGAACGGACUUGGGGAGGCCUGGCGGGUAUUUAAGUCCAGUAGGAAUUCCAGGUAGGAGGAAUUGACUAAAUGUGCACCAAGUGGCAUGAGUUUUAGAAGUUUAACUCCAGGCAGCAGGUGGGUGGGGCAGAUUCCUGACCCCCUAUUAAAGGCAAAUUCUUUGCUUCUCUGUCUGCCCAUGCUAGAGUCCUGAAGAUUCUACUAACAGUAAUAAUAAUGCUACUAUACUGUCACCGUGCCCCAAAACCCCCCACCCCUGCAGUUUCAAUGGGAUAUGGUGUCUUCCUUCUCUUUUUGUCCUACAACCCUGUGCGUCGUUACCAUGGACUGCUAAACCCACAGUGGUGGUGUGAGCUGUAUCUCCAGUAGAAGGCUUGAUCCUGAUAUGUAAUUUCUUGGGAAAUCAAUGGGAGGUUUUGCGUAUAGACUGUAGGAUUUGGGCCUUACAGCCUCAGUCUGAUGAGCCCUUCCCGUGGGGAACUCUUCCCAAAGUCAAGAGGAGUUCCAUGUACUGGGAGCGUGCAGGAUUAGGCCCACAGUUUGUUGAGCAUUUUGGAGCACUUUGAGGAGGAAGGUGCUGCACAGAGGUAAGAAGGAACAUGCGGCUGCUUCUCAGUCUCUUAGAGGGUGUCUCGAAGAGCAAGAAAUAAAACCAACUGCAUUUGAAAACCAAGUACAUUCUUCUUUAUUUCUUACAUGUAAGGAGAGUUACACAAUGGGCUGAUAAAUGAUGACAAUAAAGCAAUAUUGAUAGUAUGGAAAUGAAGUAUAUUACAACACAGAGUCAAACCAGCUUUAUGGGCCAAACUCUCCUCUCAAUCUGGAGAGGAAGCACAGUUCAGUGGCUACUGCACACAGCUAAAAAGCAGGAGAUUUGUGUCCUAGUCCUAGCUCCGCUAUUGAUCUCUUGUGUAUCUUUGGACAAGUCGAUACAAAUCACGGUGUGCCUCAGUUUCCCCAUCUGAGACGUGAAGACAGUUCUACUUACAAACCUUUGUAAAGCACUUUGAGAUCUUGGACGGAAGGGCUCCUUGGUAUUAAUUAUUAUUAUUAUUACAGGGUUGCACAGCUGUAACAGAGAAAAAAUAGCCCCAUAUAUAAUUUAGGAGGCAUUUUCUAUUGCACAUAUUGCUCUAAUUUUAUUAACAGAUUUUCUCGCUGAUGUUCCCCUGUCUAACUUCAAAUAAUUAAAAUUGGGAGGGCUGCAUAUUA